rnacentral:sRNA from 1 species
UUAAUUAUCAAAAACAUUUAUUAAAUGUCAGUGACAGCCACUGUAAAUAAGUCCCAACUUGAGGAUUUAUUUCACAAAGUGGCUGCAAAAAUGUAUAUGUAGAUUCGAACUUUUUUUCUU